rnacentral:rRNA from 1 species
AUUGAACGCUGGCGGAAUGCUUUACACAUGCAAGUCGAACGGCAGCACGGGGGCAACUCUGGUGGCGAGUGGCGAACGGGUGAGUAAUACAUCGGAACGUGCCCAGUCGUGGGGGAUAACGUAGCGAAAGUUACGCUAAUACCGCAUACGAUCUACGGAUGAAAGCGGGGGACCGUAAGGCCUCGCGCGAUUGGAGCGGCCGAUGUCAGAUUAGGUAGUUGGUGGGGUAAAGGCCCACCAAGCCAACGAUCUGUAGCUGGUGUGAGAGGACGACCAGCCACACUGGAACUGAGACACGGUCCAGACUCCUACGGGAGGCAGCAGUGGGGAAUUUUGGACAAUGGGCGAAAGCCUGAUCCAGCCAUUCCGCGUGCAGGAUGAAGGCCCUCGGGUUGUAAACUGCUUUUGUACAGAACGAAAAGGUUUCUACUAAUACCAGGAGCCCAUGACGGUACUGUAAGAAUAAGCACCGGCUAACUACGUGCCAGCCGCCGCAGUAA